UACGUAGGGUGCAAGCGUUGUCCGGAAUUAUUGGGCGUAAAGAGCUCGUAGGCGGUCUGUCACGUCGGCUGUGAAAUCCCGAGGCUCAACUUCGGGCUUGCAGUCGAUACGGGCAGGCUAGAGUUCGGUAGGGGAGACUGGAAUUCCUGGUGUAGCGGUGAAAUGCGCAGAUAUCAGGAGGAACACCGAUGGCGAAGGCAGGUCUCUGGGCCGAUACUGACGUGAGGAGCGAAAGCGUGGGGAGCGAACAGG
rnacentral:rRNA from 1 species